AGUGAACGCUGGCGGUAGGCCUAACACAUGCAAGUCGAACGGCAGCACAGGGGAGCUUGCUCCCUGGGUGGCGAGUGGCGGACGGGUGAGGAAUACAUCGGAAUCUACUCUGUCGUGGGGGAUAACGUAGGGAAACUUACGCUAAUACCGCAUACGACCUACGGGUGAAAGUGGGGGACCGCAAGGCCUCACGCGAUUGAAUGAGCCGAUGUCGGAUUAGCUAGUUGGCGGGGUAAAGGCCCACCAAGGCGACGAUCCGUAGCUGGUCUGAGAAGAUGAUCAGCCACACUGGAACUGAGACACGGUCCAGACUCCUACGGGAGGCAGCAGUGGGGAAUAUUGGACGAUGGGCGCAAGCCUGAUCCAGCCAUACCGCGUGGGUGAAGAAGGCCUUCGGGUUGUAAAGCCCUUUUGUUGGGAAAGAAAUCCUGUUGGUUAAUACCCGGCAGGGAUGACGGUACCCAAAGAAUAAGCACCGGCUAACUUCGUGCCAGCCGCCGCUGUAA
rnacentral:rRNA from 1 species